rnacentral:rRNA from 1 species
UUCUGGUUGAUCCUGCCGGACCCGACCGCUAUCGGGGUGGGGCUAAGCCAUGGGAGUCGUACGCUCCGGUUACCGGGGCGUGGCGGACGGCUGAGUAACACGUGGCUAACCUACCCUCGGGACGGGGAUAGUCCCGGGAAACUGGGGCUAAUCCCCGAUAGGUGGAGCGGCCUGGAAGGGUCCUCCACCGAAAGGGUGUCGCGGGGAUGUCCGCGACGCCGCCCGAGGAUAGGGCCACGGCCCAUCUAGGUAUGUUGGCGGGGUAACGCGCGCCGCCAAGCCUAUAACGGGUAGCGGCGCUCGUGAGAGCAGGCGACGCCCCCAGAUGGGCCCUGAGACAAGGGCCCAGGCACUACGGGGCGCACCAGGCGCGAAAACUCCGCAAUGCGGGCACCGUGACGGGCCACCCCGAGUGCCCGAAGAGGGCUUUCCCCGCUGUAGGAAGGCGGGGGAAUAAGCGGGGGGCAAGUCUGGUGUCAGCCGCCGCGGUAAUACCAGCCCCGCGAGUGGUCGGGACGAUUAUUGGGCCUAAAGCGCCCGUAGCCGGCCCGGUAAGUCCUCCCUUAAAGCCCCGGGCACAACCCGGGGACGGGGAGGAUACUGCCGGGCUAGGGGGCGGGAGAGGCCGAGGGUACUCCCGGGGUAGGGGCGAAAUCCGUUAAUCCCGGGAGGACCACCAGUGGCGAAGGCGCUCGGCUGGAACGCGCCCGACGGUGAGGGGCGAAAGCCGGGGGAGCGAACCGGAUUAGAUACCCGGGUAGUCCCGGCUGUAAACGAUGCGGGCUAGGUGUUGGGCGGGUCCUAGAGCCCGCCCAGUGCCGCAGGGAAGCCGUUAAGCCCGCCGCCUGGGGAGUACGGCCGCAAGGCUGAAACUUAAAGGAAUUGGCGGGGGAGCACCACAAGGGGUGGAGCCUGCGGCUUAAUUGGAGUCAACGCCGGGA